AAAUACUAAAAGCAAAGCAGUUUAAAGGCUGUGACGCAAAAACAUAAGUCUAAGGGAUGAUUCCUAUGAUUGUUAUGUUUGCCUCA
rnacentral:ncRNA from 1 species